rnacentral:lncRNA from 1 species
GUGCCUCAUGCACCACAUCAUGUUAAGAUGGUGCUGAUUAUAGUCGAAUAAAGUGAAUGAGUCAAAGAAUUUUUGGAGGAGCUGUUAGAGCUAAGUCUUUCAAAGUUUUCGGAAGAUCUAUAGAACUAUAAAACUUAAAAGUCCUCUUGAUUUAUUUCUGUGUCAUUACAGAAUUGUCAUUGUGCAAUCUAGAGAAGGGAUCAGAUUUCCUGAGACUUAGACAACUGGUAGAUUUUGAAAGUCUCUGUCCACUGUCAGCCCAGUAGCCCUUUUACAUUACUUUGGAGUAAUAAUUUGAUGAGAUUAAUAGCAAUGAAAAAUAUUUUGUUCCUGCCAUUAAUAUAUUAGGUACCAUGUGAAUGAAAUAUGGACCAUGACCUUUGGGAAAUUAACGUAAAAAACCCUUAGGGCCCAAAAGAUACUUUUUUGUAAUUUUAAAAUUGUACCGUGUAUAGGAAUACAGUAACCUAAAAUUAAUAUUCUAUGUUUAAUUUUAAUAAGGUACAGUGAUGAUCUAUAAAGGCUUUCUAUGACUUGCAAACCAAGAGAAGAAUUAUCUAGUACAUUGAUCACAGCACAGAUUGGGAAUUGCAAAGUAAAUAAUCUCCCUUAUACGUAAGCUGGUGACAAGAUGGAAUUUCAGUCAUCUUGGUUCUUGAUUGGACAUAGAGAUGUGAGUGAGAAAUCAGUGUUUGUUUUAAUCCGCUAAGAUUUGGAAGUUUUUGUUUGUUUGUUUGAUUUUUAUACUGUUUUGUGUCUCUACCUGUCCUGACAGAUACAGGCCUGAUAGCACAAUGGAUGUUUUUGUUCCAGGCCACCUUUUCCUCUUUGUUUAUGGGACACUAAAUGCUUAAUUACAUGUUUAAGAGGUAAGUAAGGCAAACAAGGUUAAGUCCUUU